ensembl:lncRNA
CUGCUUGGGACAAGCGGCUUCAGACAGUGUGUGUGUGUGUGUGUGUGUGUGUGUGCUAUAUACUGUAAAUGAAAGCAAUAUGUCGUACCAGUGUGUCUGACAUCAGAGUCUGUGAUCUGUUUGUUUUAGAAGCUGUCGUUUCUAAGGAGAAGACAAAGCUGAUACUUCCAAGAAGAGCUGUCCAAGUUAAAGUUGAAAAGACCACAAAGCCACAUGAACCAGUGAAAGAAGUCAAAACUAAGGAGCAUAAAGGUGCAAGUACGUCAUAAAAGAUGUGUUUUCCGAGAAAGAUAUUUAACAAAGUUAUCCAGCCUAUUACUUUUUGUGGUUUUGCAGUGAUUAGAUCUUUUUUUUUAACAGAGCUUGACAGAGAGAAGCUCAAAAUUUUGCUUAAGAGGGCUAAGGCCAGAUUUUCUAACUCUCAUAUUGGUGUUCUUGUGUUUAUUACACUGGUGUGAAUAAUUAAGACUAAGAAUACUCCACACAUAGCAAACAACAGCAAAUGUAUUCAGUAUGAGCAACACAAAAACUAAAAAUAGACUUUAAUGUAGCAGCAAUAUAGCUUUGCAUCAAUUCUCUAAUGGCCAGAUGUUUAUUCAUGCAGAACCUGAAAAAGAAAGGCCUAAACCUUUGGUGAAAAAGGACACUGAAAAAGAAAAGAUGAAAACUGCGCUAAAGAAAGCACAGACAAAGCCCCGUCAUGCUGCAAAAAUGACCCCACCAGGGAGAGGUUCCUCUACUCAUCCAAAAGCCGAAACAGGUAGGCCAGCUCAGGUCGACACAAAGUCAACAAAGGAUGCAAAAGAACAAGAUGGGAAAACUCCAAAACCAUCAAAACCUGCUGGUGUGGAGGAGGCCAAGGCCAAGACAGAGCCAGGUAAGUGUCACGGACUCCUUCCUCGACCACCCGUGCAUUUUCACCCCGUUCGCCACCUCAUUAGAGGGCCGCGGUCCGCACCAGGUCCACAGGGUCCAUUUCAGAAGCUGGGACCAGGUCACGAUGGAACUGAUAGGUUCAGACUGAAUCCUUUGUUCCGAAAGUUUUUGGGCCUGGGGGGGGGUGACAUUAUCUUCUCAAAUGUCCUUGUACACUGAGUGGGAAAGGACACUCUGUUUCCCUGUCCAGUCUGGCAGUCACCAACGUGUCCCUUCCCUUCCAAUGUCCUUCCUUUCAGCCAAAAUGCCCUACUUCCAGUGUGUCCUUCUUCGCUCCAAAAACACCAAGUACCCUCUAUACCCUUUCACCCCUGCUCAAAGUCCCAUCACCAAGCCCCAGCCGCCAGAAAGGAGAGCCAGGGCAGCUGGGCACUAAGACAGCGCCUCCUACAGGUCAAGUUAAUUUCUCACCGCAGCUGUCCCCUGCGACUGGAGGGCUGUUCUCUUGCUGGGGCCAUUGUGGGCCACAAGCAUCUUAAGAGGUCUUGACUGUUAACCAAGGAUGAUCUUGAACAAAGAGGAUGAAUGGUUCUUUAACUUUUUUGUUUUUCUUAAGACUGGUCGAGCUUCCAUCACUGUUGGUGUAUGAACCCCAUUCCUUUACAUGCAGCCGUGAUGAUGUCUUGCAGUGUUUGUCUCUUCCUCCGUUUCAGUGCUGUGUCAAAAAAGCACUUAUGAAAAUUCAAUUAUGAAAGAAGCAGAAUGCAUCACGAUUAUUAAUCCACUGUGGUGGUUUCGAUAUCAUGAGUGACACAGCUUAUCUUAUAUAGUUUGAUUUUUAUUUUUGACGGCCAAAAGAAUACGAAGUUUAACCGAAAAAAUCAAUUUAUUGUCAGCUUGUACGUAUAAAUAGACAUAUACUGUAUAUAAUUUAGUGUAAAUUUGCAGUUUACAGUUGGGGUUUCUCAAAUUCAAUUUGAGAUAUUUCAUCGUGCUAAUGCGCCUCAAUCUCAAAAUGUGCAAAGAGAAAUAUUAGUUUAUAUAUAAUAAUUUAUUUGCUAUAUGUGUACAUUUACUAAUUAAUUUGUAUGGUGGCAAUAUCUUAAAUUAUUGUCCACCGUGGCAAUAUCUUAAAUUGUUUUUAAACUAUAUAUUUAAUUAAUUUAUUGUAAAUGUGACAUGAUACUGUGGAAUGUGUGUCGUAGUGCAGGGAAUGUUGAAAACAUGUAUGUUAAUGUUUUUGACCCAAAAAGAAUCUGUGUGUGUGUGUGUGUGUGUGUGUGUGUGUGUGUGUGUGUGUGUGUGUGUGUGUGUGUGCGCGCCGCUCUAUUUGUGUUUAUCUGUAAAUUUAUGUCAGCUUCCUAUGUCUCGUUCUGCACCACUGUUUCCCAUAAGCCCUGUCUGGCAGCAAAAAAAAAAUCUUUGAAACAUGUUUUUGCUUGUUUAGAAGAAGAACUAUUUCUGGCUCAGCAUUUCUUAUUUGCGUUACACAUUUGGGAACCACAAACAAUAAAGCUGCUGUGGAAAGUUCGAAUUUGUUUUAC